CAGACUAUGCUGACAUCAAUCCAUCAGCAAAUGGGGCCAGAAUCCAUGCGGGCAGGGGUGCAUGUUGGAAUCAGCGUUUUUGUGGUACUUCUAGUCAUCCUGGUUUUGGCACUAAUUCUAUCCAAAAGGUAUUUCCCCAACAGACAGAAGCUGAAGACUUUGGCAAGCUCAGUCUCAUUUUCCAACGCAGAACAUGGAGGCCUCCAGAGCACGUUGGAAGCUGGGGACCAUGCAGAAGAGAAUAUUUAUACGAUGGGCUAAGGAAUGAUUGGAUGCUUCCCUGAAGGAACUCUGUGGCUUUCGCCAGUUACUACAAAACCAGCACAGUUUAUACAACACUCUAAAGGAUAUGUUCUACUGACCACUUCUAACCCUUCUUUGAUACAGCUGAGGACACUGAAGAGGGGUGCUCCUGGUGGAGGGCACAUGGACUCACAAACUGUUACUGGCAUCACUCCAGUAAAGCAAGAAGUGUCUACAAAUUCGAGGCUAAGACUUUGCCAGUCUAUUGCAGACCCAAGACUCCCACCGUUUAGUGUCAUUCUCAGAAUCCAUUCACCGAAUGGGAGCGAUAUGCGUAUUACAUUUGUUAUCAGAUGCAAAUUGCCACUUCUGAUAGUGAAUGAGAGCAACGCCACAAUGCCUAAGCAGCUGAGAAGAGAGAAGCGACAGUCCACUUUCCUAUUUACCGUGUCUCCAGCAUUGUUGUCUCUCCCUUGACGCUGGAUUUCCUGGGGCAGGAUGGCACAGCCAGGAACCAUGCUGUGCCAUCUGCAGGGAUGAACAGGCUGUGGCACUUGUGAUGAUGUAGAUGUAAAGAGGGAUUUGUUUAUGUGAAUGUUUCAAGCAACAAAAGUUUAACUGCAUUUCUGCUAAGGCAAAAUAUAUUCAUUCUUGGUUACCAGUGAGGGUUCAAUCCUGCUGGGUCCUAAGUGCUUCCAGGAAGAUGCUGAAACUCCUCAGCUUCUGAGAAGUCAAUCGGAAUGGAGAGUACUCAGCACUUCUCAGAAGGCACUCAGCACCUUGGCAGGUCAGGCUCUUAAUACAUAGAAUACGGACAUUUUGUUGGCUCAGUUAAUUAUGACUAAGCACAUUUUACUUUGGAAACAAUACAUCCUGUUCUUCCUCUGUGCUUUUUAAAAAACUGAUAUGAUUCAUACCAUGAACCACAUUAGUGACAGGCUCUCCCAUUUCCAGAACUCUAGGAAACUAGAAAAAACACUAGCUACCCUGAAGAAUGAAUAAUAAAUUCCUCUCUCUGCUGUUACCAAGGGGAAACCGAGUCAUGUUGGAAGGGUACGUCAGAGAUCUUGGUAAUGCAACAAAUGUUGAGCUAAAUUCUGCUCUCCACUUACAUCAGUAUAAAUCCAAAAUAACUCCCCUAACCGAACUGAAAUUUGAAUUGGAUUUAAGCCGUGUAAGGAGACAGCAGGCUGAGACAACUUCUGCUUCCCGCAUACACGGCUGUAACUGGCACCCCAGUUCAUGGAACUAGUUUUGGACUUGUGGCCCCCAUGCUUUUUGGUUGAGGGACACUGCAAAACAAAGAAUGAGGAUGUCCCAUAAUGAGCUGGAUUGGGAUGAGCCAGCAUAUUUCAUUUUGUACGGUCAUGCAGCAGAACACAACCUAACUGGUACAAAUUCAGGUAGUUCUGGUGGGAAGAACAGUUUUUCUCAGCUGUUUUUUAAAACCCACUUUUUCACCAGCUAUUUCUAGAAAACUAGAGCAGAUUUCCUGAGACUGCAAAGACCUAGUAUGUGCAAGAGAGAGCCAAAUAUCUCCUGAUAUAGAUUCAUAGAUUCUAGGGCUGGAAGGGACCUUGAGAGGUCAUCAAGUCCAGUCCCCUGCCCUCGUGGCAGGACCAAAUACUGUCUAGACCAUCCCUGAUAGACAUUUAU